UACGGAGGUGGCAAGCGUUAUCCGGAAUUCACUUGGGUUUAAAGGGUGGCGUAGGCGGCUAUGUAAGUCAGUUGUGAAAUACCUCGGACUUGAACCCGGAAGGAAGUGCUGAUUGAUACUGCGUAGCUUGAAUCAGGUUGAGGUAGGCGGAAUGUGGCAUGUAGCGGUGAAAUGCUUAGAUAUGCCAUAGAACACCGGAUUGCGAAGGCAGCUUACGUGGGCUUUGAUUGACGCUGAGGCACGAAAGCGUGGGGAGCAAACAGG
rnacentral:rRNA from 1 species